GACGUAGGGCGCGAGCGUUGUCCGGAUUUAUUGGGCGUAAAGAGCUCGUAGGCGGCUUGUCGCGUCGACUGUGAAAACUCGGGGCUCAACUCCGAGCUUGCAGUCGAUACGGGCUAGCUAGAGUGUGGUAGGGGAGAUCGGAAUUCCUGGUGUAGCGGUGAAAUGCGCAGAUAUCAGGAGGAACACCGGUGGCGAAGGCGGAUCUCUGGGCCAUUACUGACGCUGAGGAGCGAAAGCGUGGGGAGCGAACAGG
rnacentral:rRNA from 1 species